UCUUCCCUCUUGCUCAUCUCUCCUCUCUUUCCCGUACACAUCUCUCUCCCUCUCGUUCUCAAGCUUUCCUCUUCACAAUCUCGAAUCCAACCACCACCACAACUCUGUCGGUUGUCUUUCUCCCUCUCGUUCUAAACGACGGGCAGCGACGCGAAUCAAGUCCCAAAUUCAAGUGUCCCAGUGCAAUCCUUCAAAGUACUAGUCUGGUCGCUGUGGGGGAACAACUAGAGUUGGUGUUCUUAUUGGAGAUCAAACACCGCAGAGGUCGAUUCAUUGAAGGAGCAAGUGAUAACCCUAAAGGGUCAGCUUGAGGUCCAGGGCGAGCAGAUGAGGGAGCAAAUAAGGGCCCAGGGCGAGUAGCUGCAAGCCUAUGCUGGGCACAUGAGAGACCUUGUACAAGCCAUACAGAUGACUAGCCUCCAAAUCUCGCUACCAGUACCUGAUCUUGCUACACCUUCGACUUCCGAGCCACCUCACCCUGCUGAUACCCAGUAGCCACUUCACCUAGAAGACUACUUGUAGUUUUUUCUUUUUUAUUCGAACAUCUUGUAUAUACA